UCGAGCGAGAUUUUUUCCUGUAGCAAUACAGGGAAACGUCUAGCGGCGAACGGGUGCGUAACACGUGGGCAAUCUGCCUUAAAGUGGGGGAUAGCUCGGCGAAAGCCGAAUUAAUACCGCAUGUGAUCAGCCAAGUCAUCUUGGCGAAAUCAAAGUUGGCGCAAGCUAACGCUUUUUGAGGAGCCCGCGGCCUAUCAGCUAGUUGGUGAGGUCACUGCUCACCAAGGCUAUGACGGGUAGCUGGUCUGAGAGGACGACCAGUCACACUGGAACUGAGACACGGUCCAGACACCUACGGGUGGCAGCAGUCGAGAAUUUUUGACAAUGGGGGAAACCCUGAUCGAGCGACGCCGCGUGGAGGAUGAAGGUCUUCGGGUUGUAAACUCCUGUCAUUUGGGAACAAUGCGGACGUAUUAACUGUACGUCCGUUGCUAGUACCAGAAGAGGAAGAGACGGCUAACUCUGUGCCAGCAGCCGCGGUAAUACAGAGGUCUCAAGCGUUGUUCGGAUUCAUUGGGCGUAAAGGGUGCGUAGGUGGCGCCGUAAGUGGGGUGUGAAAUCUCGGGGCUUAACUCCGAAACUGCAUUCCAUACUGCGGUGCUUGAGGACUGGAGAGGAGACUGGAAUUCAUGGUGUAGCAGUGAAAUGCGUAGAGAUCAUGAGGAAGACCAGUGGCGAAGGCGGGUCUCUGGACAG
rnacentral:rRNA from 1 species